CAAAGUAAAUCAGAAAAAUUUAUGUAACUUCGAAGUUAACGCUAAGAAAAUUGAUAGAAGUUGUUUUCUUAGUGUUAACGCGCAUUACCAGCGUUAACUUGGAAGGUUUAGAAAAAACCACUGUCGUAUAUUUUCUCAACAUUGACUCCUAGGAUGUCUAUAGCUGGAUAACAAACCCGUUUUCAUGUGACCCGAAAAAUAAACCUACUGGGAAGACAAAUUAAGCUUUUGAAAACCGUUUGACCAUCAGUGAACACAGCCCUUUGAAUAUAAAGUACUACGAAGGGAGCGAAGAGAGUUCUGGAUGUAAGUGUACGCAGAAAACAAUGCUGUUGGCAAGAUUGCAUUCAAAGUACUAGAUAGUGACUUUUACUUUUACACAAGGGUGCCGGGGUGAAAAAAGUUUGGGAAGACCUGGUCUAGCAGAUGAAUGUAUGUAUGCUUGUACAUUAUUGGCCGUUUAUGCUGAACUUUGAAGCUGCAUUUAGCACAUUUAGCUCUAAAUGUACAUUUACCCAUACAAAAUUCGCGACCUAAAUGCAACUAAAUGCUAUAUAUUUUUGGCUUUAAGAUUCUAAAUGCCGCGUGCAACUCUGUAAUCUUCGAAAAAACACCACGAUUCGAAGAAGCUGUGGUGAAAAAAAGUGGCAGCAUCGCUUGUUUGCGUAUACAUAUUUGUUUACAUUCUGUUUUGCGUAUACAUACAUAUAUUGUGAUAUUUGUGCCGGAGUUUGCUUCAUUUCGGUUCAUUAAAUAUACUUUGUAAUUUUAAGUAAAUAAUUAAGAAAAAUUUAUUUAAAAAAUGAAGUGAACGAGAUGUCCAUGCACCGCAGCAGCAGAGGAGGCGUUUGUGGAGUUGUAGCAGCAAAAAGUGAAUGAUUUGAGUGGGCCCAGGAAAAACGACCAUGUUUACUAAGAGAUGGCGGCUGAAAUGCACAUGCAGGGCUAUGAUGUCAACUCCUCAUUAGUUAAAACGAAGAUUGACAAUCUGACGGCGAAAUACAGACGGGCCAAGGCAGCUAUGGGAACAAAAGGCGGCUUUCCUGCAUCAUCUAAAUUAAUAAUGUAGAGGCUCUAAUUGAAGAAAGUUUUGAACUUUCAGAGUCACCAACCCAUCUCUCACCGCUACCGACAGAGAUAUCGCCGUUAUCUCCAUCACCUUUGCCGUCUACUUCGUCCUCAGCAUCCGACAAAUCUGGAAGAAAAAAACAAAUAGACCGGUUAGCGACGGUCUGCGAAAGCCUCUAGUCCACUUUUCGGAAGCUCUGGAUAAAUUUUGCACAUCGAACGAAGAAUUGAUGGAACUGGAAAAAGCAAAACUGAUGGCAGUGCAGGAGCUGCAGGAAGACGCGAAAGGACUAACGGAUGGUGUUUCAGAUUUUUUAAAUAGAUUAGGAAUAGGAUGUAAGGUUUCGUGAAUUUAAUACUUUUUUACACAUUUAAUAAAUUAUAAGGAAAUAGUAUGUAAGAUCCAAUGAAGUGAAUUGUUUUUUGUUAUAGAUUUUAGACUUACUCAUUAAGAAAAUGGAAUCAAAUAUGUGGUGAAUUUUAUUUUUUUGUUUUAUAUUUUUAAAUAGAUGUUAAGAAAGUAGUAUGUAAGAUUUUGUGAUAUGAACUUUUUUGUUUUUAAUCUAUAUAUAUAAAUUU